UACGGGGGGGGCAAGCGUUGUUCGGAAUUACUGGGCGUAAAGGGCUCGUAGGCGGCCAACUAAGUCAGACGUGAAAUCCCUCGGCUUAACCGGGGAACUGCGUCUGAUACUGGAUGGCUUGAGUGUGGGAGAGGGAUGCGGAAUUCCAGGUGUAGCGGUGAAAUGCGUAGAUAUCUGGAGGAACACCGGUGGUGAAGGCGGCAUCCUGGACCAAUUCUGACGCUGAGGAGCGAAAGCCAGGGGAGCAAACGGG
rnacentral:rRNA from 1 species